GAGACCACUGAUGAAAACCUGAGGAAAGUCUUAUUCCGGCUUAAUCCAGACCAGAUUAAACAUGAAAGAUACUCACAGACCGAACGACUCACCUGUCAGAACGGGUCAUAAGGCAGCAGGCAGACUGAGUCCUGCAGCUCUGCACUAACUGCAAACAAAAAGAGGAGCAAAAGUAUGAAGAAGGUAAGAGCACAGCUG